rnacentral:rRNA from 1 species
AUGAACGCUAGCUACAGGCUUAACACAUGCAAGUCGAGGGGCAGCAUGGUCUUAGCUUGCUAAGACUGAUGGCGACCGGCGCACGGGUGAGUAACACGUAUCCAACCUGCCGUCUACUCUUGGACAGCCUUCUGAAAGGAAGAUUAAUACAAGAUGGCAUCAUGAGUCCGCAUGUUCACAUGAUUAAAGGUAUUCCGGUAGACGAUGGGGAUGCGUUCCAUUAGAUAGUAGGCGGGGUAACGGCCCACCUAGUCUUCGAUGGAUAGGGGUUCUGAGAGGAAGGUCCCCCACAUUGGAACUGAGACACGGUCCAAACUCCUACGGGAGGCAGCAGUGAGGAAUAUUGGUCAAUGGGCGAGAGCCUGAACCAGCCAAGUAGCGUGAAGGAUGACUGCCCUAUGGGUUGUAAACUUCUUUUAUAAAGGAAUAAAGUCGGGUAUGCAUACCCGUUUGCAUGUACUUUAUGAAUAAGGAUCGGCUAACUCCGUGCCAGCAGCCGCGGUAAUACGGAGGAUCCGAGCGUUAUCCGGAUUUAUUGGGUUUAAAGGGAGCGUAGAUGGAUGUUUAAGUCAGUUGUGAAAGUUUGCGGCUCAACCGUAAAAUUGCAGUUGAUACUGGAUAUCUUGAGUGCAGUUGAGGCAGGCGGAAUUCGUGGUGUAGCGGUGAAAUGCUUAGAUAUCACGAAGAACUCCGAUUGCGAAGGCAGCCUGCUAAGCUGCAACUGACAUUGAGGCUCGAAAGUGUGGGUAUCAAACAGGAUUAGAUACCCUGGUAGUCCACACGGUAAACGAUGAAUACUCGCUGUUUGCGAUAUACGGCAAGCGGCCAAGCGAAAGCGUUAAGUAUUCCACCUGGGGAGUACGCCGGCAACGGUGAAACUCAAAGGAAUUGACGGGGGCCCGCACAAGCGGAGGAACAUGUGGUUUAAUUCGAUGAUACGCGAGGAACCUUACCCGGGCUUAAAUUGCAGAUGAAUUACGGUGAAAGCCGUAAGCCGCAAGGCAUCUGUGAAGGUGCUGCAUGGUUGUCGUCAGCUCGUGCCGUGAGGUGUCGGGUUAAGUCCCAUAACGAGCGCAACCCCUACCGUUAGUUGCCAUCAGGUCAAGCUGGGCACUCUGGCGGGACUGCCGGUGUAAGCCGAGAGGAAGGUGGGGAUGACGUCAAAUCAGCACGGCCCUUACGUCCGGGGCUACACACGUGUUACAAUGGGGGGUACAGAGGGCCGCUACCACGCGAGUGGAUGCCAAUCCCAAAAACCUCUCUCAGUUCGGACUGGAGUCUGCAACCCGACUCCACGAAGCUGGAUUCGCUAGUAAUCGCGCAUCAGCCAUGGCGCGGUGAAUACGUUCCCGGGCCUUGUACACACCGCCCGUCAAGCCAUGGGAGCCGGGGGUACCUGAAGUGCGUAACCGCGAGGAGCGCCCUAGGGUAAAACUGGUGACUGGGGCU